AAGGCUAUACUUUACAGGAUCAUUUCUGUAGUCAGUUUUCAUUUACAUUUUUUGGAAAUCGACCCGCGAUGACGAGGUAUUUUCGUUUCAUCUGACAGCGUGAGGCUUAAGAAGUUCAUUUCUAAUUUUGUCUUGUGGCAUAUUAGAAAUGAUGUUUCUUCGAAAAUCGUUCGUUUACAACGGAUAAAACGACUUCUGAGUGGU
rnacentral:snoRNA from 1 species